UUAAGCGACUAAGCGUACACGGUGGAUGCCCUGGCAGUCAGAGGCGAUGAAGGACGUGCUAAUCUGCGAAAAGCGUCGGUAAGGUGAUAUGAACCGUUAUAGCCGGCGAUGUCCGAAUGGGGAAACCCAGUGCAAUUCGUUGCACUAUCGUUAACUGAAUACAUAGGUUAACGAGGCGAACCGGGGGAACUGAAACAUCUAAGUACCCCGAGGAAAAGAAAUCAACCGAGAUUCCCCCAGUAGCGGCGAGCGAACGGGGAGCAGCCCAGAGUCUGAAUCAGCUUGUGUGUUAGUGGAACGGUCUGGAAAGUCCGACGGUACAGGGUGAUAGUCCCGUACACCAAAAUGCACAGGUUGUGAACUCGAAGAGUAGGGCGGGACACGUGGUAUCCUGUCUGAAUAUGGGGGGACCAUCCUCCAAGGCUAAAUACUCCUGACUGACCGAUAGUGAACCAGUACCGUGAGGGAAAGGCGAAAAGAACCCCGGCGAGGGGAGUGAAAAAGAACCUGAAACCGUGUACGUACAAGCAGUGGGAGCACCUUCGGGUGUGACUGCGUACCUUUUGUAUAAUGGGUCAGCGACUUAUAUUCUGUAGCAAGGUUAACCGUAUAGGGGAGCCGCAGGGAAACCGAGUCUUAACUGGGCGUUAAGUUGCAGGGUAUAGACCCGAAACCCGGUGAUCUAGCCAUGGGCAGGUUGAAGGUUGGGUAACACUAACUGGAGGACCGAACCGACUAAUGUUGAAAAAUUAGCGGAUGACUUGUGGCUGGGGGUGAAAGGCCAAUCAAACCGGGAGAUAGCUGGUUCUCCCCGAAAGCUAUUUAGGUAGCGCCUCGUGAACUCAUCUUCGGGGGUAGAGCACUGUUUCGGCUAGGGGGUCAUCCCGACUUACCAACCCGAUGCAAACUACGAAUACCGAAGAAUGUUAUCACGGGAGACACACGGCGGGUGCUAACGUCCGUCGUGAAGAGGGAAACAACCCAGACCGCCAGCUAAGGUCCCAAAGUCAUGGUUAAGUGGGAAACGAUGUGGGAAGGCACAGACAGCCAGGAUGUUGGCUUAGAAGCAGCCAUCAUUUAAAGAAAGCGUAAUAGCUCACUGGUCGAGUCGGCCUGCGCGGAAGAUGUAACGGGGCUAAACCAUGCACCGAAGCUGCGGCAGCGACACUAUGUGUUGUUGGGUAGGGGAGCGUUCUGUAAGCCUGCGAAGGUGUGCUGUGAGGCAUGCUGGAGGUAUCAGAAGUGCGAAUGCUGACAUAAGUAACGAUAAAGCGGGUGAAAAGCCCGCUCGCCGGAAGACCAAGGGUUCCUGUCCAACGUUAAUCGGGGCAGGGUGAGUCGACCCCUAAGGCGAGGCCGAAAGGCGUAGUCGAUGGGAAACAGGUUAAUAUUCCUGUACUUGGUGUUACUGCGAAGGGGGGACGGAGAAGGCUAUGUUAGCCGGGCGACGGUUGUCCCGGUUUAAGCAUGUAGGCUGAUUGUCCAGGCAAAUCCGGAUAAUCAAGGCUGAGGUGUGAUGACGAGGCACUACGGUGCUGAAGUAACAAAUGCCCUGCUUCCAGGAAAAGCCUCUAAGUAUCAGGUAACAUUAAAUCGUACCCCAAACCGACACAGGUGGUCAGGUAGAGAAUACCAAGGCGCUUGAGAGAACUCGGGUGAAGGAACUAGGCAAAAUGGUGCCGUAACUUCGGGAGAAGGCACGCUGGUGUGUAGGUGAAGUCCCUGCGGAUGGAGCUGAGACCAGUCGAAGAUACCAGCUGGCUGCAACUGUUUAUUAAAAACACAGCACUGUGCAAACACGAAAGUGGACGUAUACGGUGUGACGCCUGCCCGGUGCCGGAAGGUUAAUUGAUGGGGUUAUCCGUAAGGAGAAGCUCUUGAUCGAAGCCCCGGUAAACGGCGGCCGUAACUAUAACGGUCCUAAGGUAGCGAAAUUCCUUGUCGGGUAAGUUCCGACCUGCACGAAUGGCGUAAUGAUGGCCAGGCUGUCUCCACCCGAGACUCAGUGAAAUUGAACUCGCUGUGAAGAUGCAGUGUACCCGCGGCAAGACGGAAAGACCCCGUGAACCUUUACUAUAGCUUGACACUGAACAUUGAGCCUUGAUGUGUAGGAUAGGUGGGAGGCUUUGAAGCGUGGACGCCAGUCUGCGUGGAGCCAACCUUGAAAUACCACCCUUUAAUGUUUGAUGUUCUAACGUUGGCCCCUGACCGGGGUUGCGGACAGUGUCUGGUGGGUAGUUUGACUGGGGCGGUCUCCUCCCAAAGCGUAACGGAGGAGCACGAAGGUUAGCUAAUCCUGGUC
rnacentral:rRNA from 1 species